rnacentral:rRNA from 1 species
GGGCUCACCAAGGCGACGAUGUCUAGGGGUUCUGAGAGGAAGGUCCCCCACACUGGUACUGAGACACGGACCAGACUCUUACGGGAGGCAGCAGUGAGGAAUAUUGGUCAAUGGGCGCAAGCCUGAACCAGCCAUGUCGCGUGCAGGAAGACUGCCCUACGGGUUGUAAACUGCUUUUGUAUGGGAAGAAACGUUGGUACGUGUACCAAUUUGCCGGUACCAUACGAAUAAGGAUCGGCUAACUCCGUGCCAGCAGCCGCGGUAAUACGGAGGAUCCAAGCGUUAUCCGGAUUUAUUGGGUUUAAAGGGUGCGUAGGCGGUAGAAUAAGUCAGUGGUGAAAUCCUGCAGCUUAACUGUAGAACUGCCAUUGAUACUGUUUUACUUGAGUGUAAUUGUGGUAGGCGGAAUGUGUUGUGUAGCGGUGAAAUGCAUAGAUAUAACACAGAACACCGAUUGCGAAGGCAGCUUACUAAGUUAUAACUGACGCUGAUGCACGAAAGCGUGGGUAGCGAACAGGAUUAGAUACCCUGGUAGUCCACGCCGUAAACGAUGAUUACUCGCUGUAGGCAAUACACCGUCUGUGGCUGAGCGAAAGCAUUAAGUAAUCCACCUGGGGAGUACGUUGGCAACAAUGAAACUCAAAGGAAUUGACGGGGGCCCGCACAAGCGGAGGAACAUGUGGUUUAAUUCGAUGAUACGCGAGGAACCUUACCUGGACUUAAAUGUAGAUUGACGUAUCCAGAGAUGGAUAUUUCUUCGGACAAUUUACAAGGUGCUGCAUGGUUGUCGUCAGCUCGUGCCGUGAGGUGUCGGGUUAAGUCCCAUAACGAGCGCAACCCAUGUUGUUAGUUACCAGCACAUCAUGGUGGGGACUCUAACAAGACUGCCGGUGUAAACCGCGAGGAAGGUGGGGAUGACGUCAAAUCAGCACGGCCCUUACGUCCAGGGCUACACACGUGUUACAAUGGCCGGUACAGAGGGCAGCUACUUGGUGACAAGAUGCGAAUCUCAAAAACCGGUCUCAGUUCGGAUCAAAGUCUGCAACCCGACUUCGUGAAGCUGGAUUCGCUAGUAAUCGCAUAUCAGCCAUGAUGCGGUGAAUACGUUCCCGGGCCUUGUACACACCGCCCGUCAAACCAUGGAAGUCGAGGGUACCUGAAGUCUGUUACCGUAAGGAGCGGCCUAGGGUAAAACUGAUAACUAGGGUUAAGUCGUAACAAGGUA